GAUCUUCAUCAACCGGAACCUGCAGGGCUGGAGGUCAUAUCAUUGUAAAGAAGGUCAACGUAUUUUCGUGUCGCCUACUCUUCCAAAGCAGAAAUCCUCUUAUUUCAACCAAAAUUCCCGGAAUCGCGUGGCAGGAAACGGCUCCAGUAAUGUGCUGGGACACUGUCUUACGCUGGAGUAAGAAAAGUCCGCCUGAGGAAUCUUACUAUGUGCACAGUGCCGAUACGCCAGCAACGGAGGAAACAUGCAAAUUGAAGACGGUCCCGAGCUAAAAAAAAUCCGUUGGGAAGGAUUCUAAAACAUGGCCUAUGAUAGAAGAAUACUAAUCUCUAGAAGAUACGAAACUGCAGGUUACAAUUAAGUCGAGUUGAAAUUCGCGAUAGUGACCUUUUGAAAUGACAGCUCUUCCAGUAAGGCACUCCAUUUGAAUCCAGGAGUCACUUUUGUUUCCAACUAGGCGACGAAGGUGAUAGAUGCGUUUAUUGAAGGCCGAGAAUCCUGAAUACAAUUUAAUCCUCCUCAGCAUUGGGCCUUACAAAUGCUGCUCGGGCGUGACUAUUUGGCGACUUGAAUGUUUUUUUUUUGCAUAAAGAUAAUGACCACA